GAUGAACGCUAGCGGCAGGCCUAAUACAUGCAAGUCGAGCGGCAAGUCGAGGAGUAAUCUAAGACCUAGAGCGGCGCACGGGUGCGUAACGCGUAUGCAACCUACCUUAUACUGGGGGAUAGCCCGGAGAAAUCUGGAUUAAUACCCCAUGGCACAUAUUGAGGGCAUCUGAGAUAUGUUAAAGAUUUAUUGGUAUAAGAUGGGCAUGCGUCUGAUUAGCUAGUUGGCGGUGUAACGGACCACCAAGGCGACGAUCAGUAGGGGUUCUGAGAGGAAGGUCCCCCACACUGGCACUGAGAUACGGGCCAGACUCCUACGGGAGGCAGCAGUAGGGAAUAUUGGGCAAUGGUCGGAAGACUGACCCAGCCAUGCCGCGUGCAGGAAGAAGGCCCUCUGGGUUGUAAACUGCUUUUAUCUGGGAAGAAAAAGGCCAUGCGUGGCAAAUUGCCGGUACCAGAUGAAUAAGCACCGGCUAACUCCGUGCCAGCAGCCGCGGUAAUACGGAGGGUGCAAGCGUUGUCCGGAUUUAUUGGGUUUAAAGGGUGCGUAGGCGGCUGAUUAAGUCAGCGGUGAAAGACUUCGGCUUAACCGGAGCAGUGCCGUUGAUACUGAUUGGCUUGAGUGUUGGAGGGGUACAUGGAAUUGAUGGUGUAGCGGUGAAAUGCAUAGAUACCAUCAGGAACACCGAUAGCGAAGGCAUUGUACUGGCCAACAACUGACGCUGAGGCACGAAAGUGUGGGGAUCGAA
rnacentral:rRNA from 1 species